UCACCCGCGAGUCGUACUCUGGGCAGUGUC
rnacentral:piRNA from 1 species